CAGACCAGGUGCGCCCAAAGCCGCGCCACGGGGCGCCUCUGGUAAUGGGCGAGUCAAAGGCGUAGCCAAAACCGGCGCCGGCACUGCCGGCCUUGAUGUCGCCUACCAGUGCGCCCUCUUUGGGUGCGGCCUGGCGGUCAUUGUCGGCACCACCAGACGGAUCGCCGCCGCCCGGUUGGGGACCCACCGCCGACGACGAUGCACCGCCGCCGGCACCGCCCUGGCAACCGGUACGAUCGACCCUUGACGAUGCUUUGCCGCCGCCGCCACCAUAGGCCGUGGCAUUGAAAAGCACCGUGCCGUCAGGCAUCAUGGCAACGAUUGACGUGGCCCCGCCGUCGCCGGCCACCGAUUCUUGGGCGCCUACCGGACUGGGUGCGCCGCCCUUGCCAAUAACCACGCUCCACACGGGGUCGCUGGCCGAGAUUGACCAGUCGGACGAGUCGACGGCGCGGCCCACAAUGGUGGCGCCGCUCCCGCCGCCGGCACCACAGUACAAUGAGGUGGACGACCCGCCACCGCCGCCCCAGAGGGUGACACUGACAUUGGCGGCACCGGCCGGCAGGGACCAGGCCUGCGACGCGCCAAAGGACACGCUGUAGCGGUAGGCCUCUGUUGUUGGCGCCCCAAGACCCAAGAGACCGAUGAUCGCGACGACCGUGACAAGGGCCGCUGUGGUUGCCAUGUGAUUUGUCGCACGCGCCUUCAUACUGUUGCCUUGCGACGGGUUUCCGUUUUAUUGUUUGUUCUCUUUUCUUUUUUUUGGCAGGAGCGAUCAGGCUCGGUGUUGUGUCGGGUCUUUUUUUUCCUCCCUUGUGUCGACACCUCUGGUGGCCGCGACCACCACAGGGCGUGGUGCGGUCAUCAACUUUCGUCGUGCCUGCGGCGCCUUUUUUUGUUGCCGUCUCCAACAGACAACAAGGGCACGUGUUCAAACCCAGCAAAAAAGGUGGCAAAGUGACCUGUUUCUUUUUUUCGAGAAAAACCCAUUUCACGGCCACCAAGAACAAGAAAAAGGGCCACAAGUCGAG
rnacentral:lncRNA from 1 species